rnacentral:rRNA from 1 species
GACGAACGCUGGCGGCGUGGAUUAGGCAUGCAAGUCGAACGGUAUCAUCCUUUCGGGGGUGAGAGAGUGGCGAACUGGUGAGUAACACGUAGGUUAUCUACCCUCAAGACGGGGACAACCCAGGGAAACUUGGGCUAAUACCGGAUGUGAGCAACUUUUAGUUGUUUGAAAGGUGGCGUAAGCUGUCGCUUGGGGAUGAGCCUGCGUCCUAUUAGUUAGUUGGUGAGGUAACGGCUCACCUAGGCAAUGAUAGGUAGGCGGCCUUAACGGGUGGUCGCCCACACUGGGAUUGAGAUACGGCCCAGACUCCUACGGGAGGCAGCAGUCGAGAAUAGUCUACAAUGGUCGGAAGACUGAUAGUGCGACGCCGCGUGAACGAUGAAUCCCUUCGGGGUUAAAGUUCUUUUAUAUGUGAGCAGUGCUUCUUAUAUUAACAGUAUGGGGAAGAGAUAUUAGCAUAUGAAUAAGCAACGGCUAAACUCCGUGCCAGCAGCCGAGGUAA